GCUAUGACCUCUGGUCUCUGUCUCUGCUGAAGGAAGUCUUGUUUUCUCCUCAGGGGCAGUGCUGCUCUUUUCUCUCCUAGAGACAGCUGGGACUCUUGCUGCAUCUAAUUCGCUUGGGUGUUUUCUGUACCUUGACUCCGUCGGCUGUUCUGCUUGGGCAGGCUAACCUAACAAGGCCUGCUAAAUUAAUUUAAGGGUGAACUGUGGAAUGAGCUUCAUAGCAGCAUGUGUGAGAAGUUCCUCCAGGUCCAGAUCCUUGAGGUCUGUCAUGAAAAUGCCUACCAAACUGAUGGAUGCAGUUUGUUGACUGAACGGGCCUGGGCCAUGAACCACCCUCUCCAUCACAGGUGUCCCAGGUGAAGCACCCUGAGUCAAUUGCACUGUUGUUGCCAUGCUGCACCUGCUGGAAACCUAGCCUUUUCCAGCCCUGCCAGGGCUCCUUCAUGUGGAACUCCCUUCUUCCUUCAGUUUAAACUUAGGCCAGAUACUGCUCAGAGUAAAUUSAGAGUAAAACUCCGAAAUGUACAACAACAGCCUCCAGCCUUUUGACCGCUUGCCAUGUGUAAGUCUUUGAACCUACCCUGAACUGAAAUUCGCUGCCUUGUUUAUGGAUACAGGGACCUUGCUGCUUUUUGUGUUCGACAGGUGUCUUAGCAACUUUUGGUUACGUGUUAUUCAGACUACAGCUUGCUCAUUGCCACAAGA